CCGGGAGGGGCCGCUGCUGGCGGGACACAUCAGCCCCACAGCCCCCGACACCCUGGGCUGUUACCCCUUUUACAAAUCGGACCCUUUCAUCCUCACCGACUGCCCUCACGUCUACUUCUGCGGCAACGCUCCCCGCUUCCAGUCCAAGCUGCUCAAAGGGGAGGGUGGGCAGCAGGUCCUGCUGGUGACAGUGCCUGCCUUCAGCACCACGCAGACCGCCUGCCUCAUCAACCUGCGCAACCUCAACUGCCAGCCCAUCACCUUCUCCGGCUUCGGGGCCGAGGAUGAUGACGGGGACAUGGAGGUCGGGCACUGACUGAGCAGGCAGAGCAUGGACUCACUAAACCCCCGGCCUCUUGGAGGGUCGUGGCACCCAACACCUUCCUGUCAUCCUUGUCCGCCCUCCUGGGAGGGCGGCACGAAGCUGCUGUGGGCGCGGGAAAGACGAGA